rnacentral:snRNA from 2 species
UGGGCGUCUUUUUGUGUUAUGAGUGGCUGGAUUCUUUUGUCAUAGUUACACUGAG